GAUGAACGCUGGCGGCGUGCCUAAUACAUGCAAGUCGAGCGAACGGACGAGAAGCUUUCUUUUCUGAUGUUAGCGGCGGACGGGUUAGUAACACGUGGAUAACCUACCUAUAAGACUGGUAUAACUUCGGGAAACCGGAGCUAAUACCGGAUAAUAUUUUUAACCGCAUGGUUCAAUAGUUAAAUACGGUCUUGCUGUCACUUAUAGAUGGAUCCGCGCUGCAUUAGCUAGUUGGUAAGGUAACGGCUUACCAAGGCAACGAUGCAGAGCCGACCUGAGAGGGUGAUCGGCCACACUGGAACUGAGACACGGUACAGACUCCUACGGGAGGCAGCAGUAGGGAAUCUUCCGCAAUGGGCGAAAGCCUGACGGAGCAACGCCGCGUGAGUGAUGAAGGUCUUCGGAUCGUAAAACUCUGUUAUUAGGGAAGAACAAAUGUGUAAGUAACUGUGCACAUCUUGACGGUACCUAAUCAGAAAGCCACGGCUAACUACGUG
rnacentral:rRNA from 1 species